GCAUGCAGCAGUCGUUGUCCAAAUUCUUCACUCAGCAACAGCAAUGCUAGAAAGAAGAUCUAAAUUUCUAAACUAAGCCUAAAGCAAAGACAGAAAACAUCCACAUCUUCUAUAUUUGGAUGCUGGACAUCUGAAAAAAGAAUCACCCAUGAAAACAGCCUGAAUGAACCUGCUGAAUGGCAAACCACUGCCAACAAGCCUCAAUGAUUUUUCUAGCAGAGAUGUUUUUGCUGUUUUUGCCUCUGAGAAAAAUAGAAGAGGAUGGGGGAAGAGCUGGUUUCUUUUCUCAUGCAUGCACCCAUCAUCAACAGCUUUGUUAAGGCAGGAAAAUUAUUUCUGGAUUGUUUUUCUUGUUCUUAAAACUUGUAAAUUCAACAAAAGUGUUUUGGCUGUUAUUGCUGUUAUUGCGAGGUAAUAAAUACAGAACCUCGGAGAA